rnacentral:misc_RNA from 1 species
GGCACAUCUUUGACAGAUCAGAUGUCUUUGAACUUGAAGCAACUGGGACCCAGAUCCUAUCCACCCUUCUGAAAGCACUGCUAUUUUCUGGUAUAACACCUUGAUCAACCAAUACCUGCAACUCAAUAAACGAGAAAGGCCCUCUUUCAUGCCCAGCCCCGUCAAGGUAGUACCACUCACCUAAAUGUAACUGUAACUCAUCCGCUGAGCAAAGACGAUCCUUUGGAAUAAUUAAGGGCAUGAUGCUCUUGCUGGAACCAUGUAAUUCUUGGUCCUGCCUACUUUUCGAGCGAUAGACGGCUUCUUCUGACGACCUCUUAGUAUCACCAGUCACCACAUAUGGUCGUGAUGACCUCUGAGGAUGUCUAUC